rnacentral:rRNA from 1 species
AGAGUUUGAUCCUGGCUCAGGAUGAACGCUAGCGACAGGCUUAACACAUGCAAGUCGAGGGGCAGCAUAAUGGAUAGCAAUAUCUAUGGUGGCGACCGGCGCACGGGUGCGUAACGCGUAUGCAACCUACCUUUAACAGGGGGAUAACACUGAGAAAUUGGUACUAAUACCCCAUAAUAUCAUAGAAGGCAUCUUUUAUGGUUGAAAAUUCCGAUGGUUAGAGAUGGGCAUGCGUUGUAUUAGCUAGUUGGUGGGGUAACGGCUCACCAAGGCGACGAUACAUAGGGGGACUGAGAGGUUAACCCCCCACACUGGUACUGAGACACGGACCAGACUCCUACGGGAGGCAGCAGUGAGGAAUAUUGGUCAAUGGACGCAAGUCUGAACCAGCCAUGCCGCGUGCAGGAUGACGGCUCUAUGAGUUGUAAACUGCUUUUGUACGAGGGUAAACGCAGAUACGUGUAUCUGUCUGAAAGUAUCGUACGAAUAAGGAUCGGCUAACUCCGUGCCAGCAGCCGCGGUAAUACGGAGGAUGCAAGCGUUAUCCGGAUUUAUUGGGUUUAAAGGGUGCGUAGGCGGUUUGAUAAGUUAGAGGUGAAAUUUCGGGGCUCAACCCUGAACGUGCCUCUAAUACUGUUGAGCUAGAGAGUAGUUGCGGUAGGCGGAAUGUAUGGUGUAGCGGUGAAAUGCUUAGAGAUCAUACAGAACACCGAUUGCGAAGGCAGCUUACCAAACUAUAUCUGACGUUGAGGCACGAAAGCGUGGGGAGCAAACAGGAUUAGAUACCCUGGUAGUCCACGCAGUAAACGAUGAUAACUCGUUGUCGGCGAUACACAGUCGGUGACUAAGCGAAAGCGAUAAGUUAUCCACCUGGGGAGUACGUUCGCAAGAAUGAAACUCAAAGGAAUUGACGGGGGCCCGCACAAGCGGAGGAACAUGUG